AUCCCUCUACACUGGCGAUUCCUCCCCCAAACCCUAAAUCAUGUAAGAAUCAUCCCAAACCUUCUUUAAUCUCAAUUGUUUAGGGUUUUGGAAGUUAGAUCUCGGAUUUAGGUUGUUUGAUUGAUAGUUUAGGAUAUCUAAGUUAGGAUUGUUGUUGGAUUGUUGUUUUAGUUUUUUUUGGAACAUUUUUUUAUUUUUAAAAACGUUUUUUGAUUUUUUAAAACGUUUUUUUGAUUUUUAAAAACGUUUUUCAAGUUUCCAGUAAUGAAAUAUAUAUAAUAAAACGUUUUUAAAAUUUUUUAAAAAUAUUUAACAACAUUUUUCUAUAUUUAUAAAUUUUUUAUAAUUUUGUAUACAUAUAUAUAUAUAUAUAUAUAUAUAUAUAAAACAUGUAUAAUAAAAAUUUUAAAAUUUUUUAUAAUUUUUUAUAAGUUUCCACUAAUAAACUAUGUAUAAUAAAACGUUUUUUUAAAAAAAAUAUAAAUAUUUAACAACAUUUUUCUUCAUUUAUAAAUUUUUAACAACAUUUUUCUAUAUUUAUAAAUUUUUUAUAAUUUUGUAUACAUAUAUACAUAUAUAUAUAUAAAAGGUUUAAUAGUUUUUUUUAAAACGUUUAUAAAACCUUUUGUAAAUAUAUAAAUGAAAACAUUAAAAAUAGAAAUGAUUUGAAAAUAUGUUUGAUGGGUUAAUUUUUUUUUUUUAGGGCCGAGGAUGAAGCCCGCCCCGCAGCCCGUCUUCGACGUAGUUCGGUGAGCAGUUCCCGUGCAUCGGGAUCGUCUCAUGACUCGGUUCCCGCAUAUAUUCCCGCUCCAGCUCCCUCAGCCCCUCACGCUGCCCCUCACGCUGCUGCUCAACAGGAUCCGGGGGUCAUGCCGGUUCAUCUAUUGGUUCAACAACCAGGUCGAGAGCAUCUCCCGUUUCUCCAACCCAACCCAC
rnacentral:lncRNA from 1 species